rnacentral:rRNA from 1 species
GAUGAACGCUGGCGGCGUGCCUAACACAUGCAAGUCGAACGAACCUUCGGGUUAGUGGCGGACGGGUGAGUAACGCGUGAGAAUCUGCCCUCAGGAGGGGGAUAACGGUUGGAAACGACCGCUAAUACCCCAUAUGCCGAUAGGUGAAAUGAAUUUCGCCUGAGGAUGAGCUCGCGUCUGAUUAGCUUGUUGGUGAGGUAAUGGCUCACCAAGGCUUCGAUCAGUAGCUGGUCUGAGAGGAUGAUCAGCCACACUGGGACUGGGACACGGCCCAGACUCCUACGGGAGGCAGCAGUGGGGAAUUUUCCGCAAUGGGCGAAAGCCUGACGGAGCAACGCCGCGUGAGGGACGAAGGCCUCUGGGCUGUAAACCUCUUUUCUCAAGGAAGAAGAUAUGACGGUACUUGAGGAAUAAGCCACGGCUAAUUCCGUGCCAGCAGCCGCGGUAAUACGGGAGUGGCAAGCGUUAUCCGGAAUUAUUGGGCGUAAAGCGUCCGCAGGCGGCCUUUCAAGUCUGCUGUUAAAGCGUGGAGCUUAACUCCAUAUGGCAGUGGAAACUGAUCGGCUUGAGUAUGGUAGGGGCAGAGGGAAUUCCCGGUGUAGCGGUGAAAUGCGUAGAUAUCGGGAAGAACACCAGUGGCGAAGGCGCUCUGCUGGGCCAUUACUGACGCUCAUGGACGAAAGCCAGGGGAGCGAAAGGGAUUAGAUACCCCUGUAGUCCUGGCCGUAAACGAUGAACACUAGGUGUCGGGGGAAUCGACCCCUUCGGUGUCGUAGCUAACGCGUUAAGUGUUCCGCCUGGGGAGUACGCACGCAAGUGUGAAACUCAAAGGAAUUGACGGGGGCCCGCACAAGCGGUGGAGUAUGUGGUUUAAUUCGAUGCAACGCGAAGAACCUUACCAGGGUUUGACAUCCUGAGAACCUCUUAGAAAUUUGAGGGUGCCUUCGGGAAUUCAGUGACAGGUGGUGCAUGGCUGUCGUCAGCUCGUGUCGUGAGAUGUUGGGUUAAGUCCCGCAACGAGCGCAACCCACGUUUUUAGUUGCCAGCAUUUAGUUGGGCACUCUAGAAAGACCGCCGGUGAUAAACCGGAGGAAGGUGUGGAUGACGUCAAGUCAUCAUGCCCCUUACACCCUGGGCUACACACGUACUACAAUGCUACGGACAAAGGGCAGCAAACUCGCGAGAGCUAGCAAAUCCCAUAAACCGUGGCUCAGUUCAGAUCGUAGGCUGCAACUCGCCUACGUGAAGUAGGAAUCGCUAGUAAUCGCAGGUCAGCAUACUGCGGUGAAUACGUUCCCGGGCCUUGUACACACCGCCCGUC